rnacentral:rRNA from 1 species
AUACGGAGGGUGCGAGCGUUAAUCGGAAUUACUGGGCGUAAAGCGUACGUAGGCGGUUGGUUAAGUUAGAUGUGAAAGCCCCGGGCUUAACCUGGGAACUGCAUUUAAAACUGGCGAACUAGAGUUGAGUAGAGGGGAGUGGAAUUUCAGGUGUAGCGGUGAAAUGCGUAGAGAUCUGAAGGAACACCAGUGGCGAAGGCGACUCCCUGGACUCGAACUGACGCUGAGGUACGAAAGCGUGGGUAGCAAACGGGAGUAGAAACCCCUGUAGUCC